UGACGACCAUAGAGCAUUGGAACCACCUGAUCCCAUCCCGAACUCAGCAGUGAAACGAUGCAUCGCCGAUGGUAGUGUGGGGUCUCCCCAUGUGAGAGUAGGUCAUCGUC
rnacentral:rRNA from 3 species